rnacentral:tRNA from 1 species
GCCCGGAUGGUGAAACUGGUAGACACAGCGGACUUAAAAUCCGCCGCCCCUCAACCGGGCGUACGGGUUCGAUUCCCGUUCCGGGCACCA